AGUGAACGCUGGCGGUAGGCCUAACACAUGCAAGUCGAACGGCAGCACCGUAAGUGCUUGCUCUUACGGGUGGCGAGUAGCGGCCGGGUGAGGAAUACAUCGGAAGCUACUUUUUCGUGGGGGAUAACUUAGGGAAACUUACGCUAAUUCCGCAUACGACCUACGGGUGAAAGCAGGGGAUCUUCGGACAUUGCGCGCUUGAAGGUGCCGAUGUCGGAUUAGCCUGUUGGCGGGGUAGAGGCCCACCAAGGCGACGAUCCGUAGCCGGUCUGAGAGGCUGAGCAGCGACACUGGAACUGAGACACGGUCAAGACCCCUACGGGAGGGAGCAGUGGGGGAUAGGAGACAAGGGGCGCAAGCCUGAUCCAGCCAUAGCGCGUGGGUGAAGAAGGCCUUCGGGUUGUAAAGCCCUUUUGUUGGGAAAGAAAAGCAGCAGGUUAAUACCCCGCUGUUCUGACGGUAGCCAAAGAAUAAGCACCGGCUAACUUCGUG
rnacentral:rRNA from 1 species